rnacentral:rRNA from 1 species
CCAGUGGCGAAGGCGACUCUCUGGUCUGUAACUGACGCUGAGGAGCGAAAGCGUGGGGAGCGAACAGGAUUAGAUACCCUGGUAGUCCACGCCGUAAACGAUGACUGCUAAGUGUUAGGGGGUUUCCGCCCCUUAUUGCUGCACCUAACGCAUUAAUCACUCCGCCUGGGGAUUACGGUCGCAAGACUGAAACUCAAAGGAAUUGACGGGGGCCCGCACAACCGGUGAACCAUGUGGUUUAAUUCAAAGCAACGCAAAAAACCUUACCACGUCUUGACAUCCUCUGACAAUCCUAAAAAUAUGACGUCCCCUUCGGAGGCAUAAUGACAGGUGGUGCAUGGUUGUCGUCAGCUCGUGUCGUGAGAUGUUGGGUUAAGUCCCGCAACGAGCGCAACCCUUGAUCUUAGUUGCCAGCAUUCAGUUGGGCACUCUA